rnacentral:SRP_RNA from 1 species
GGUCGGGUCCUGCGCAACGGCGUCCCGUGAACCGAGUCAGGGCCGGAAGGCAGCAGCUCUCAGCGGAAGGCACCGUGUGCCGCAGCCAGCCUGACCGUC